rnacentral:lncRNA from 1 species
UUGAAAGGGAGUACUUUUUCUUUUUCACAUGGGGGACAAAUAUAUGUUACUCACGUGGGUGGGUCAUGGGUGGGGGGGGGGAGAGAGAAAUUUCUCUCACCGUUCUCUCAGGGUUCCGAUGUUUAGCAGCUCUCAUAGUAAAAUGUAGCAUUUUUGUAGCUUCGACCAACAUUGACACUGAUGCUUGAUCUACCAUAAAUCUUCAUGAAUAUAAAGUGUUUAUAAGUGACUUAAAUUGUCGAUUUAAUAUUUUCGAAGUCUCUCAGAGAUUGUAGAAGAUACUCAUUGCAUUAGUUUAAUUAGUAGAAUAAAGUUUGAUGGUAGAAGGUAAUUAAGGAGUAAAAUUUAAUGUUGAGCUGAGUUUUUAUUAAGUAUUGAAUUAAAUGUAUGAUUUGUUAGGAAAUUGGUGGGUGAAGCAGACACGCAGUUAAAGUAAAAUUGUAAGAAAAUAAAGAACAAGCACAAAAGAGAAUACCAGAAAUUACGUGGUUCGGCUUUUAGCCUACGUCCACGGGCGAAAACAGAAGGAAAUAUUUUACUAGUGAAAUAAGGAUUACAAGUAUUGUAAUAUUUUGGCUCACAACCCAAAACCUCAAUACACCCAAUCUCUCACUCACUAGACUCUCUGCUCUGCAAGAAUUAUUUCUCACAACUCUCGACUCUCUCUACAAAAUUGAAUGCCUCUCAAAAUGGAAUUGAAUAAUAAAAACCAAAUGAAGAGCUCCCUUUAUAUAGCCAAAAUUGGCUUAUAAAAUAUUAUUAUAUUUUAAACCGCCUUUGAUUUUUCUUCAUUCUUCUUCCUCUUUUGCAGCUGCCAAAGUCUUCUUUCUUCCUCAACAAUUUCAGCAUUUUCAAUCUUCAAAGCCGUGUGCAAAAAACUUGUUUAUUCAAAGCUUCUAGAUGCAUUCAAAGCUUCUAGAUGAAUGCCAAUAUUGACAUUCUCCCACUUGGAGAUUAAAUUGAAAAUCAAUCAAUCUCCACACCAUCCUUUCUGCUUCGCCAUAAUCAUGUUGCCUACGUUUCUGCUAGGCCACAAGAGGAUCUACUCCAGACAAACUUAUCAGUAUUUAUCGGCUUGGUCAAAACAUCUGCUAGGUUCUCCUUCGUAUGGAUUUUCUGUAAAUCCACACUUCCAUCUUCCACUACUUCACGAACGAAGUGAUACUGGACUCCUAUGUGUUUUGUCCUGGAAUGAAAGGCUGGAUUCCUUGCAAUGUGCAAGGCACUCUGACUGUCACAAAACACAGGAAUUUUCUGUUGUUUGUGCCCGAGCUCCUCCAAUAACCUUUGUAUCCAAAUAGCUUCCUUGCAAGCUUGUGUAGCUGCCAUGUACUCUGCUUCUGUUGUAGAUAAAGCCACAACGGUCUGCAGUUUCGAAACCCAGCUUACAGCUGCUCCCGCAAGUAUAAACACAUAACCAGUAGUGGAUUUCCUUUUAUCAAGAUCUCCUGCAAAAUCUGAAUCCACAUAGCCCCUGACAGUAAAUUCUGAUCCUCCAUAACAUAAUGCAACAUCUGAGGUUCCUCUGAUGUAUCUCAGAAUCCUCUUCACAGCUAUCCAAUGCUCUCCACUAGGAUUCGCCAUGUAUCGACUGACUGCUCCCACUGCUUGUGCAAUGUCCGGUCUAGUACAUAUCAUAGCGAACAUCAAACUUCCCACUGCUGAUGCAUACGGAACUCGAGACAUCUCCUUUCUCUCUGCUUCAUUGCUAGGACACAUACUUGAGGAUAAUUUGAAAUUAAUAGGAAGUGGGGUAGAAAUUGACUUACAAUCUUGCAUGUUGAAGCGCCGCAAGAUUUUCUUCAAAUAAUUCUUCUGUGAGAGCCAAAUCUUCCUGUUAUUUCUGUCUCGGUGAAUUUGCAUCCCUAGAAUCUUGUUUGCUGGUCCCAAGUCCUUCAUUUCAAACUCCCUAGCUAACUGUGCCUUCAAUUCUUGGAUUCGAUCUUUGUUGGGACCUGCUACCAACAUGUCAUCCACAUACAACAAUAAAAUGAUGAAAUCAUUAUCUUCAAACCUCUUGUAAUAUGUACAAUGAUCUGAACCGAGUCUGUUGUAUCCAAGGCUCAUGAUGAAGGAAUCAAAUCUCUUAUACCAACACCUCGGCGCCUGUUUGAGACCGUAUAGAGAUUUGUUCAACCUGCAAACCAAGUUCUCCUUUCCUUUUUCUGCAAAACCUUCUGGUUGGAGCAUAUAAAUUUCUUCUUCAAGUUCUCCAUGAAGAAAUGCAGUUUUAACAUCUAACUGCUCUAGAUGUAGGUCAAAUGUAGCACACAUUGCCAAGACUAUUCUGACUGUUGUGAGUCGAACCACCGGAGAAAAUAUCUCGUUGAAGUCAAUACCUUCUUUCUGAGCAUAUCCUUUCACUACCAGUCUCGCACGAUACCGCUCCACUUGGUCAUUGCCAUCACGUUUGAUCUUGUAGACCCAUUUGUUUCCAAUGGCUUUUCUUCCACGUGGUAGUGGUACAAGUUCCCAUGUCUUGUUCUUGUGUAGAGCUUCAAUUUCUUCCUGCAUUGCUGUCAUCCACAAAGCAACAUCUGAGCUGUUUAAAGCUUCAUGGAAAGUUGAAGGCUCUCCAUCCUCUGUUAGAAGACAGUAUGCAACGUUGAUCUCUGUGACAUACUCCGAGUGCCACGUUGGCGGUCGUCUCUCACGAGUUGACCGACGAACUUCUGGAGCCUCGGACUCGACUGGUUCUUGUUCCUCGUGCUCUGGUGCUGCUUCAGAAGAAUCUGAAUUUUCUGGAUUAUUUUCGACAUAUACUGGCACAGUCUCAGACUUUUCUUUUACAGUGCCAUCAUCUUCAUCUUUUCUUUGCAGUUGAUCUUCUACAAAAAUAACAUCUCUGCUGAUGACGAUCUUGUGGGCAGUGGGGUCCCACAGACGAUACCCCUUUACUCCAUCAGCAUACCCCAAGAAGAUACAUCUUCUAGAUUUUGCAUCCAGCUUUGUUCUUUCUUGGGCAUUGUACAUCACGUACACAGGACAUCCAAAUGCAUGUAGGUAGGAAUAAUCAGCUGGCUUUCCAGUCCACAUCUCCAUCGCUGUCUUCAACCCAAUAGCUGUAGAUGGCGACCGAUUUACUAUAUAACAGGCAGUUUUGGCUGCUUCUGCCCAGAAUGAAUUGGGUAGACCAGCAGUCCUCAACAUAGCUCUUAUUCUUUCUGUAAGAGUUCUGUUCAUCCGUUCUGCCACUCCAUUUUGUUGAGGAGUGUAUGCCACCGUGAACUGUCUCUGAAUACCUUCUUGUUUACAGAAAGUAAGAAACUCGCCGUCUGUAUAUUCUCCACCAUUAUCUGUCCUCAAGCACUUGAUCUUUUUACCAGAUUCAAGUUCCACCCGCGCUUUGUAUUCUUUAAACACUGGAAAUACAUCUGACUUUUUCUUAAUUGGAUACACCCAACAUCUUCUGGAAUAAUCAUCAAUGAAAGUCACCAUGUACUUUGCACCUCCCAUGGAUAUAUCCGGUGAUUCCCAGACAUCAGAAUGAAUCAAGUCUAGAAUAUAUUUACUUCUAGUAAUAGAUCUACUGAAUUUUAAUCUAUGCUGCUUACUUGUAACACAAUGCUCGCAAAAUGGUAAACUUACCGAUUUGAGCCCCGGAAGUAAUUUUCGCUCAGAGAGAAUCUUCAAACCUUGUUCCGACAUGUGGCCAAGUUUGAGAUGCCACAUCAUCGUUGACUCUUCUCCAUUUGAUGCGACACACGCAUCAGCCUCCUGUAGUGUUUCUCCUUUAAGCAUAAAUAGAUUAGCACUGAUCUUUUCUGCCUUCAUCAAUACAAGCGCGCCUUUAACAAUCUUCAUAAUUCCAUUCUCCACAUGAGUUUUGCACCCAUGAUUGUCUAUUUGUCCCAAAGACAAUAGAUUUUUCUUUAGGCCGUUGACAUGUCGUACCUCCCCAAUUGUGCGAAUUGUACCAUCAAACAUUUUUAUUUUGAUAGUACCAAUACCAGCGAUCUCCAAGGCAUGAUCGUUACCCAUAUAUACAGAUCCUCCUGAGAUAGGUUCAUAUGUGUGGAACCAUUCUCUCCUAGAGGUCAUGUGCCAGGUAGCUCCUGAGUCUAUAAGCCAGACAUCAGAAAGUCGUUUUCUGCCUUCUGAAACAGUUGUUGCCUCACUGUAGAGAAUUUCGCCAUCAUCCGAGGUACUUGCUACACACCCCUGAGCAUUUGAUGACUCAGGUUCUUUGCCCUCUCUUUUCUUCUGGUUACUCCAACACUCCUUUUUUGACGUGCCCUUUCUUGCCACAGUUGUAGCAUUUAACAUUCUUCUUACUUCUGGAUUUUGAUCUACCAUGAUUUUGACUCCCACUGGGGCCACGUUCCGUUGAUCUCCCUCUCGUCACUGAUAGCGCCUCCGCUUGCUGCGAACUUGCUUGUCUGUUUUCCUUGUUUUUUCGCCUGCUCUCCUCAUUUAAUACGGAGGCUGCAACAUCGUCGAAAACUAGACCCUCCACUGGAUUGUUGUUCGUCAGGUUGAUGAUGAGUUGAUCAUACGAAUCUGGUAGACUUUGAAGUAGAAGCUCUGCACGUUCAUUUUCCUCUAUAUUAUGACCCAACGUUGUGAGUUGUGAAAAUAGAGUCUUCAAUGUGUUGAUGUGGUCGGUCACCAUUGUAGAUUCCGCCAUUCGAAGAGUAUAGAGUUUCCUCUUCAAGAAGAUUUUAUUGUGUAGUGACUUGGCCUCGUACAAUUUUGUGAGAGUAUCCCAUAUUUCCUUCGCCGUAUUUUUCUCUGCCACACUGGAUAAUACUCCAUCCGCAAGUGCCAAGUGUAGAUCAGAAAUGGCAUUGCCGUCUACCUCGUUCCACUUGUCAUCAGUUAUCUCCAUGGGCCUUUCUUCAAUUGCUGCCAAGCAAUUAUUUUUCCUCAAUACAGCUUUCAUCUUCAUUUUCCACAACGAAAAAUUAUUUCCGUUAAAUUUCUCAAUUUCAUACUUUGCCGCCAUUUUAUUGAUAAAUACUGUACACAAGCUAGUGUACCACCUUGAAUAGUUGUGAGUAUGUGUGAGAAUGCACACCAGGAAAGUUCCCAGGAAAGACUGGAGGGGUCACAAUGGUCCCACUUAAAACCCAGACUCCUUAAGCUCUUAUCGCCUUUGUGACAGAACUUUCCUAGACAUGUACAGAAUCACACAGUUGCUUUACUCACACCACUAUUCCCUGCUUUGCACCGCAAAAUUCUUGGAUCGUUUCCACCGUUUCACGUGAAUAGUACCGUAUACAUGAAUAGUACCGUACUCCGUAUACGUGAAUAGUAUCGUAUGCCGUAUACAUGAAUAGUGCCGUACACCGUAUACGUGAAUACGUGAACAAUUCCUGACUCCAAAAAUACAACCAAUAGCUCUGAUACCACUGUUAGGAAAUUGGUGGGUGAAGCAGACACGCAGUUAAAGUAAAAUUGUAAGAAAAUAAAGAACAAGCACAAAAGAGAAUACCAGAAAUUACGUGGUUCGGCUUUUAGCCUACGUCCACGGGCGAAAACAGAAGGAAAUAUUUUACUAGUGAAAUAAGGAUUACAAGUAUUGUAAUAUUUUGGCUCACAACCCAAAACCUCAAUACACCCAAUCUCUCACUCACUAGACUCUCUGCUCUGCAAGAAUUAUUUCUCACAACUCUCGACUCUCUCUACAAAAUUGAAUGCCUCUCAAAAUGGAAUUGAAUAAUAAAAACCAAAUGAAGAGCUCCCUUUAUAUAGCCAAAAUUGGCUUAUAAAAUAUUAUUAUAUUUUAAACCGCCUUUGAUUUUUCUUCAUUCUUCUUCCUCUUUUGCAGCUGCCAAAGUCUUCUUUCUUCCUCAACAAUUUCAGCAUUUUCAAUCUUCAAAGCCGUGUGCAAAAAACUUGUUUAUUCAAAGCUUCUAGAUGCAUUCAAAGCUUCUAGAUGAAUGCCAAUAUUGACAUGAUUUUUUUUCAUUUCUCUUGUCUAGUAAUAAUUAAUUUAUUGCUCAAUAAAAACUCAACUUAAUA